AAAUUUAUCUAUGCAAAAUAUGAAUAAAUAUAUUUUAGCUGUUCUAUCAUCCAUGAUUAUAUUUUUCCAUAGAAUUAAAGGAAGCAGAACAUGGAGAAUACCAGUCAUAGAGGAGGUCACGAUUACAUCUUAUAGAGAUGAAGAACCAUAUCUCCUACAAUUCAAUGAGAUAAAACGAGAUUCUUGGAGAUUUUAGAUUGUUAAUCGCUAAAAUCUGAUUGGUUGUUUUAAG